UUUAAGUUUUAUUCUUGCUUAGGAAUUUAUUUAAUCUAAGUUGUACAUGUAAGUUUUUGCGGUAUUGUUGUUUUAAGAAUGAAAUUGACGCAGUACUUAAUUUUAUAAAUUAAGGGAGUUUAGAUUUAGUUAUGGAUUGUUUUAUUGGUAAAAUUCGUGCCAGCUACCGCGGUUAUACGAUGGAUAAAAAUAAAUUUUAUUUGUUUGGAGUUAAUUGUAGUUGGAAGAAGUAAUUAGUGAAUUGUUUGAAGGUGAAAUUUUUAUUUUAUGUUGUUUCUGAUUUAUGAGGCUUUGAAAUUUGUUAGUAAACUAGGAUUAGAUACCCUAUUAUUUGAAAUGUAAAAUGAAGGUAUGAGUAGUAAUAGAUAAGAUCUUGAAACUCAAAGAAUUUGGCGGUGUUUUAGUCUAUUCAGAGGAAUCUGUUCUGUGAUUGAUAAUUCACGAUUGGGUGAACUUAAUUUAUGGGAUUUGUAUACCGCCGUCAUCAGAAUAUUUUUGUAGAAUAAUUUCUUAAUACUGGGAUAAGUAGUAUGUCAGGUCAAGGUGCAGUUAAUAAUUAAGAAGAAAUGGAUUACAAUAAAAUUAUUUAUAUGGAUUUGGAUUUUGAAGAUUCAAUGAAGGUGGAUUUGAUAGUAAUUUUUGAUUAGAUUCAAUAAUGAUUUUAGCUCUAGGACAUGCACACAUCGCCCGUCGCUCUCUCUGCUCUGAGAGAUAAGUCGUAACAAAGUAGGUGUACUGGAAAGUGUGCCUAGGAUGUC
rnacentral:ncRNA from 1 species